GACGAACGCUGGCGGCGUGCUUAACACAUGCGAGUCGAACGGGUCUGCCCUGUUUUUUGCGGGGUGGGUCAGUGGCGAACGGGUGAGUAACACGUGAGUAACCUGCCCCUCACUUCUGGAUAACCGCUUGAAAGGGUGGCUAAUACGGGGUGUUCUGGCUGUGCCGCAUGGUGUGGCUGGGAAAGAUUCACUUUUGUGGUGUUUUGGUGGGGGAUGGGCUCGCGGCCUAUCAGCUUGUUGGGGGGGUGAUGGCCUGCCAAGGCUUUGACGGGUAGCCGGCGUGAGAGGGUGGGCGGUAACACUGGGACUGAGAUGCGGCCCAGACUCCUGCGGGAGGCAGCAGUGGGGGGUAUUGCACAAUGGGCGGAAGCCUGAUGCAGCGACGUCGCGUGAGGGAUGGAGGCCUUCGGGUUGUGAACCUCUUUCGCCGGUGAAGAAGGUCCUGCUCUUUGUGGUGGGGUUGACGGUAGCCGGGUUAUGAAGCGCCGGCUAACUACGUG
rnacentral:rRNA from 1 species